CUACUGACCUGGCAGGGGAGAUUCCAUGAUCAAGAAUAUGAUCAAGGUGUGGCUUACUCCAGAUGUGCCAAAACCCUGUGGGUAUGGGAAACCUGACUGCAUAAUGUGUGGUAGUUGGGGGAUUGCGUUUAUGUUCUCUCCUA
rnacentral:snRNA from 11 species